AGAGUUUGAUCCUGGCUCAGAGUGAACGCUGGCGGCAGGCCUAACACAUGCAAGUCGAACGGCAGCACAGAGGAGCUUGCUCCUUGGGUGGCGAGUGGCGGACGGGUGAGGAAUACAUCGGAAUCUGCCUGUUAGUGGGGGACAACCCGGGGAAACUCGGGCUAAUACCGCAUACGCACUAAGGUGGAAAGCCGGGGACCGCAAGGCCUGGCGCUAACAGAUGAGCCCAAGUCGGAUUAGCUAGUUGGUGAGGUAAUGGCUCACCAAGGCUUCGAUCCGUAACUGGUCUGAGAGGACGACCAGUCACACCGGAACUGAGACACGGUCCGGACUCCUACGGGAGGCAGCAGUGGGGAAUAUUGGACAAUGGGCGAAAGCCUGAUCCAGCGACGCCGCGUGGGUGAAGAAGGCCUGCGGGUUGUAAAGCCCUUUCAGUGGGGAAGAAAAGCCUCGUUCUAAUACGGCGGGGUGUUGACGUAACCCAUAGAAGAAGCACCGGCUAACUCUGUGCCAGCCGCCGCGGUAAUUC
rnacentral:rRNA from 1 species